AAUCGUAAGCAGUCCGACCCGAGAGGUCA
rnacentral:sRNA from 1 species